rnacentral:piRNA from 1 species
UGACAUUAGGACACACCGCGUCCCAAAAUA